GGAAAGUGCUCUAGCUCAGUAGGUAGAACAUCUGCUUUGCAUGCAGAAGGUCACAGGUUCGAUCCCUGACAUCUCCA